rnacentral:rRNA from 1 species
UGGCUCAGGAUGAACGCUAGCUAUAGGCUUAACACAUGCAAGUCGAGGGGAAACGGCAUUAUGUGCUUGCACAUUCUGGACGUCGACCGGCGCACGGGUGAGUAUCGCGUAUCCAACCUUCCCUCCACUCGGGGAUACCCCGUUGAAAGACGGCCUAAUACCCGAUGUUGUCCACAUAUGGCAUCUGACGUGGACCAAAGAUUCAUCGGUGGAGGAUGGGGAUGCGUCUGAUUAGCUUGUUGGUGCGGGUAACGGCCCACCAAGGCUACGAUCAGUAGGGGUUCUGAGAGGAAGGUCCCCCACAUUGGAACUGAGACACGGUCCAAACUCCUACGGGAGGCAGCAGUGAGGAAUAUUGGUCAAUGGACGUAAGUCUGAACCAGCCAAGUAGCGUGCAGGAUUGACGGCCCUAUGGGUUGUAAACUGCUUUUGUUGGGGAGUAAAGCGGGGCACGUGUGCCCCUUUGCAUUUACCCUUCGAAUAAGGACCGGCUAAUU